rnacentral:rRNA from 1 species
AUUGAACGCUGGCGGCAGGCUUAACACAUGCAAGUCGAGCGGGGGAAGGUAGCUUGCUACCGGACCUAGCGGCGGACGGGUGAGUAAUGCUUAGGAAUCUGCCUAUUAGUGGGGGACAACAUCUCGAAAGGGAUGCUAAUACCGCAUACGUCCUACGGGAGAAAGCAGGGGAUCUUCGGACCUUGCGCUAAUAGAUGAGCCUAAGUCGGAUUAGCUAGUUGGGGGGGUAAAGGCCUACCAAGGCGACGAUCUGUAGCGGGUCUGAGAGGAUGAUCCGCCACACGGGGACUGAGACACGGCCCAGACUCCUACGGGAGGCAGCAGUGGGGAAUAUUGGACAAUGGGGGGAACCCUGAUCCAGCCAUGCCGCGUGUGUGAAGAAGGCCUUAUGGUUGUAAAGCACUUUAAGCGAGGAGGAGGCUACUCUAGUUAAUACCUAGGGAUAGUGGACGUUACUCGCAGAAUAAGCACCGGCUAACUCUGUGCCAGCAGCCGCCGCAG